UCCCCGGAGCUGGGCUCGGACAGGGACACGUUGGCCAGGGAGGGGUGCUCCCCUGCUAGGAAGAGACCUCGCCGCUCCCCACCCCAGACAGAGACCCCCAUGGAGUGGGAGUCCCUGGAGCCAGCUGGUCGGGAUCCCCUCCCAUGGGGUACCCCCAGCUGGCCGUGCUCCACUUCUGGGUCCCCAUGCUCCGUUUCCCCCGGCCACUGGGCCACCGACCACUGGGACCCAGCUCACGAGUGGCCCAAGGAACCGGCUGGGCCAAGAAAGUUGGCAGAUGAGUCCGCACCAGCCUCAGGAGGGCCCCCCAGGCCAGCCCCACACAGCAGCCAGUCACAGCCAGGCGCGCGCUCGGAUCCCAGGUCCUCUGCCUCCUGCCCUGGAAUAGGCGAUCUGGCACGUCAGCAGCCGAAGAAGCCCACUCGGUCGAAGAGUUGGAAAUCCA